GAUGAACGCUAGCGGGAGGCCUAACACAUGCAAGCCGAGCGGUAUUGUUUCUUCGGAAAUGAGAGAGCGGCGUACGGGUGCGUAACACGUGUGCAACCUGCCUUUAUCUGGGGGAUAGCCUUUCGAAAGGAAGAUUAAUACUCCAUAAUAUAUUGAACGGCAUCGUUUAAUAUUGAAAGCUCCGGCGGAUAGAGAUGGGCACGCGCAAGAUUAGCUAGUUGGUGAGGUAACGGCUCACCAAGGCGAUGAUCUUUAGGGGGCCUGAGAGGGUGACCCCCCAAACUGGUACUGAGACACGGACCAGACUCCUACGGGAGGCAGCAGUGAGGAAUAUUGGUCAAUGGGUGCAAGCCUGAACCAGCCAUCCCGCGUGAAGGACGACUGCCCUAUGGGUUGUAAACUUCUUUUGUAUAGGGAUAAACCUACCCUCGAGAGGGUAGCUGAAGGUACUAUACGAAUAAGCACCGGCUAACUCCGUGCCAGCCGCCGCCGUAACAC
rnacentral:rRNA from 1 species